GCAUAAAUGCACGACCGUUAAACUCUAUAUAAACUUAACCGCGGUGUAUAACGGCAGUAAUGGCUGCGUCGACGUACACGCGUCUGCACAUAUGUGUUUUGAUCGGCCCCUUUCGGGAUCACUGUGUUCUUACGCUCGGUCGGAGCGUACGGACAUCGCGUGGUAUAAUAUAAUCCCCGGGAACAAUAACGUCGAAACGAAAACGUAUUAUACGUUUGAAUU